GUACCCAUGGCUUAAUAGUAUAGUAGCUCGCCUUGUAGCCAGAAGGUCCUGGGUUCAAACUCCGGUGGGUGCG
rnacentral:tRNA from 1 species